rnacentral:rRNA from 1 species
GAUGAACGCUGGCGGCGUGCCUAAUACAUGCAAGUCGAGCGAACAGACGAGGAGCUUGCUCCUCUGACGUUAGCGGCGGACGGGUGAGUAACACGUGGAUAACCUACCUAUAAGACUGGGAUAACUUCGGGAAACCUGAGCUAAUACCGGAUAAUAUAUUGAACCGCAUGGUUCAAUAGUGAAAGACGGUUUUGCUGUCACUUAUAGAUGGAUCCGCGCCGCAUUAGCUAGUUGGUAAGGUAACGGCUUACCAAGGCAACGAUGCGUAGCCGACCUGAGAGGGUGAUCGGCCACACUGGAACUGAGACACGGUCCAGACUCCUACGGGAGGCAGCAGUAGGGAAUCUUCCGCAAUGGGCGAAAGCCUGACGGAGCAACGCCGCGUGAGUGAUGAAGGUCUUCGGAUCGUAAAACUCUGUUAUUAGGGAAGAACAAAUGUGUAAGUAACUAUGCACGUCUUGACGGUACCUAAUCAGAAAGCCACGGCUAACUACGUG